rnacentral:rRNA from 1 species
UACAGAGGUGGCAAGCGUUGUUCGGAAUUACUGGGCGUAAAGGGCGCGUAGGCGGCUUAUCAAGUCAGGCGUGAAAUUCCCGGGCUCAACCUGGGGGCUGCGCUUGAUACUGAUGAGCUUGAAUGCGGGAGAGGAUAGUGGAAUUCCCAGUGUAGAGGUGAAAUUCGUAGAUAUUGGGAAGAACACCGGUGGCGAAGGCGGCUAUCUGGCCCGUAAUUGACGCUGAGGCGCGAAAGCGUGGGGAGCAAACAGG